rnacentral:rRNA from 1 species
CCUACGGGUGGCUGCAGUGGGGAAUAUUGGACAAUGGGCGAAAGCCUGAUCCAGCCAUGCCGCGUGUGUGAAGAAGGCCUUCGGGUUGUAAAGCACUUUCAGUGGGGAAGAAAGCCUUGGGGCUAAUACCCUCGAGGAAGGACAUCACCCACAGAAGAAGCACCGGCUAACUCCGUGCCAGCAGCCGCGGUAAUACGGAGGGUGCGAGCGUUAAUCGGAAUUACUGGGCGUAAAGCGCGCGUAGGCGGUCUGAUAAGCCGGUUGUGAAAGCCCCGGGCUCAACCUGGGAACGGCAUCCGGAACUGUCAGGCUAGAGUGCAGGAGAGGAAGGUAGAAUUCCCGGUGUAGCGGUGAAAUGCGUAGAGAUCGGGAGGAAUACCAGUGGCGAAGGCGGCCUUCUGGACUGAGACUGACGCUGAGGUGCGAAAGCGUGGGUAGCAAACAGGAUUAGAUACCCUAGUAGUC